rnacentral:rRNA from 1 species
UUGCCUACGGGAGGCAGCAGUGGGGAAUAUUGCACAAUGGGGGAAACCCUGAUGCAGCAACGCCGCGUGAGUGAAGAAGUAUUUCGGUAUGUAAAGCUCUCUCAGCAGGGAAGAAGAAAGACGGUACCUGACUAAGAAGCCCCGGCUAACUACGUGCCAGCAGCCGAGGUACUACGUAGGGGGCAAGCGUUAUCCGGAUUUACUGGGUGUAAAGGGAGCGUAGACGGCAUAGCAAGUCUGAAGUGAAAGCCCGUGGCUCAAC